CAGUCGCCGCGGUAACACGAAGGGGGCUAGCGUUGCUCGGAAUGACUGGGCGUAAGGGGCGCGUAGGCGGCUGUUACAGUCAGACGUGAAAUUCCUGGGCUCAACCUGGGGGCUGCGUUUGAUACGUGAUGGCUUGAGUUCGGAAGAGGGUCGUGGAAUUCCCAGUGUAGAGGUGAAAUUCGUAGAUAUUGGGAAGAACACCGGUGGCGAAGGCGACGACCUGGUCCGAUACUGACGCUGAGGCGCGAAAGCGUGGGGAGCAAACAGGAUUAGAUACCCCUGUAGUCCCUGUCUCUUAUAC
rnacentral:rRNA from 1 species